rnacentral:rRNA from 1 species
GCUCCUUUGACGUUAGCGGCGGACGGGUGAGUAACACGUGGGUAACCUACCUAUUAGACUGGGAUAACUUCGGGAAACCGGAGCUAAUACCGGAUAAUAUUUCGAACCGCAUGGUUCGAUAGUGAAAGAUGGCUUUGCUAUCACUUAUAGAUGGACCUGCGCCGUAUUAGCUAGUUGGUAAGGUAACGGCUUACCAAGGCAACGAUACGUAGCCGACCUGAGAGGGUGAUCGGCCACACUGGAACUGAGACACGGUCCAGACUCCUACGGGAGGCAGCAGUAGGGAAUCUCCCGCAAUGGGCGAAAGCCUGACGGAGCAACGCCGCGUGAGUGAUGAAGGUCUUCGGAUCGUUAAAGUCUGUUAUUAGGGAAGAACAAACGUGUAAGUAACUGUGCACGUCUUGACGGUACCUAAUCAGAAAGCCACGGCUAACUACGUGCCAGCAGCCGCGGUAAUACGUAGGUGGCAAGCGUUAUCCGGAAUUAUUGGGCGUAAAGCGCGCGUAGGCGGUUUUUUAAGUCUGAUGUGAAAGCCCACGGCUCAACCGUGGAGGGUCAUUGGAAACUGGAGAACUUGAGUGCAGAAGAGGAAAGUGGAAUUCCAUGU